AAUUUGCAAGGUGCUGCAUGGUUGUCGUCAGCUCGUGCCGUGAGGUGUCAGGUUAAGUCCUAUAACGAGCGCAACCCCUGUCGUCAGUUGCCAACAGAUAAUGCUGGGGACUCUGGCGAGACUGCCGGUGCAAACCGCGAGGAAGGUGGGGAUGACGUCAAAUCAUCACGGCCCUUACGUCCUGGGCUACACACGUGCUACAAUGGCCGGUACAGAGGGCAGCCACACCGCAAGGUGGAGCGAAUCCUUAAAACCGGUCUCAGUUCGGAUCGGGGUCUGCAACUCGACCCCGUGAAGCUGGAAUCGCUAGUAAUCGGAUAUCAGCCAUGAUCCGGUGAAUACGUUCCCGGGCCUUGUACACACCGCCCGUCAAGCCAUGGAAGCUGGGGGUACCUGAAGUCGGUGACCGCAAGGAGCUGCCUAGGGUAAAACCGGUAACUGGGGCUAAGUCGAAACAAGGUAGCCGUACCGGAAG
rnacentral:rRNA from 14 species